rnacentral:rRNA from 1 species
AAGUCUGACGGAGCAACGCCGCGUGAGUGAUGAAGGUUUUCGGAUCGUAAAACUCUGUUGUUAGGGAAGAACAAGUUGGGUAGUAACUGACCCAACCUUGACGGUACCUAACCAGAAAGCCACGGCUAACUACGUGCCAGCAGCCGCGGUAAUACGUAGGUGGCAAGCGUUGUCCGGAAUUAUUGGGCGUAAAGCGCUCGCAGGCGGUCCUUUAAGUCUGAUGUGAAAUCUCGCGGCUCAACCGCGAACGGUCAUUGGAAACUGGAGGACUUGAGUACAGAAGAGGAGAGUGGAAUUCCACGUGUAGCGGUGAAAUGCGUAGAGAUGUGGAGGAACACCAGUGGCGAAGGCGACUCUCUGGUCUGUAACUGACGCUGAGGAGCGAAAGCGUGGGGAGCGAACAGGAUUAGAUACCCUGGUAGUCCACGCCGUAAACGAUGAGUGCUAGGUGUUAGGGGGUUUCCGCCCCUUAGUGCUGAAGUUAACGCAUUAAGCACUCCGCCUGGGGAGUACGGCCGCAAGGCUGAAACUCAAAAGAAUUGACGGGGGCCCGCACAAGCGGUGGAGCAUGUGGUUUAAUUCGAAGCAACGCGAAGAACCUUACCAGGUCUUGACAUCCUCUGCUAUUCCUAGAGAUAGGAAGUUCCCUUCGGGGACAGAGUGACAGGUGGUGCAUGGUUGUCGUCAGCUC